rnacentral:rRNA from 1 species
GAUGAACGCUGGCGGCGUGCCUAAUACAUGCAAGUCGGGCGAACAGACGAGGAGCUUGCUCCUCUGACGUUAGCGGCGGACGGGUGAGUAACACGUGGAUAACCUACCUAUAAGACUGGGAUAACUUCGGGAAACCGGAGCUAAUACCGGAUAAUAUAUUGAACCGCAUGGUUCAAUAGUGAAAGACGGUUUUGCUGUCACUUAUAGAUGGAUCCGCGCCGCAUUAGCUAGUUGGUAAGGUAACGGCUUACCAAGGCAACGAUGCGUAGCCGACCUGAGAGGGUGAGCGGCCAGACUGGAACCGAGACACGGUCGAGACGAAUACGGGAGGCAGCAGGAGGGAAUGUUCCGGAAUGGGCGAAAGCCGGACGGAGCAACGCAGCGUGAGUGAAGAAGGUCUUAGGAUCGUAAAACUCUGUUAGUAGGGAAGAACAUAUGUGUAAGUAACUGUGCACAUCUGGACGGGAACUAAUCAGAAAGCCACGGAGAAUUACGGG